ACAUAGCCUUCUACUUUGUAAUUACUCGUGUGCAUUCGUCUUUUACUCGUUGGUGAGCUCCUUUAGAACUGAGAACUCAGGAGCUCAUCCGUGAGUGGAGGAAAAACGCCCACAGGUGUCAUUCCAGUGCCCAAGGCUG
ensembl:miRNA